CAAAUUAGCGUGGAAACAGAGAUCUUGAUGAACACAGAAGUAUGUUUUUUCAUUAUUCUUCCCAGAAGACAGCAGGGAUUGCCAACCUGCAACAGGAUACAAGACUGGCAUUAGACCCUUAGAGAGGACAUUUAAAAAUAUCAGUUCUUUAGACCUAAUCAUGCUGCUGCUUCUUGACUUAGCGAAUGCUUCACUGGGAAAUGCCUUCUUAGGGACCUUUUGAAGAACCUCUUACCUAAACUGCAGUUUGGGUAUAACAACUCUGAGGAGUGCAGGGAACAGGAGCUUUCCUUUACCACUGGGGAAGAUGAUGGUGUGCAUCUGGAUCUCAUGUGGCCAGUGAGUAUGCAGCCAGGCUGUGCUCAACUAUGUAUGUCCUCCUACACAGAGAAAGUCUUUAAGGCCUUCUGUCUCUAUCACAGUCAAACUUGAAAACAAGCUCAAAAAUGCAUGAAGAGGAGAAGGAAAGAAAGAGUGAUAUGACAAAAGCUUGGUUUCCUGAGAAAACACAGCUAAAACAUAGGGCGCAUAUCACUUUUGUAUUAGUUUUACUUAAUGUUCUGUGAGAUCAAGAAACUGAUAAAACCAAGAAACUGAUAAAAAAUGAAGUAGAGCUGAAAAAGUUUAUGUGUGAGAGUACUUUCAAAGGCUAUCCCUUAAACAUUAUAAAUGGAAUCCAAGAUACUG
rnacentral:lncRNA from 14 species